AUGUACUGCAGCUCUCAGACGGAAGAUGAAAAUCUUAAUCAACUCAAGAAGUCCUGGAGUCUGAGGUUCUGUGUAUGUUUACCUGAGCAACAUGGGGAUAAAAUACACCCAUACCAUGCUUCUGUGUGCAAACCUGUAUUUUACCAUAAUGGAAUAUGGGUGUCACUCACAGUAGCUGUGCCUGGGACAGCAAAAUGUUACCUGUGCAGAGGAAUGGCAAGCUGUGUACAGGAGGUCCAAAUCAGCAGCAGUUCAGGUCUCCACCGCCAAGCUUUGCAGCUGUAUCACCAGCAUUGUGUCCCUGGAUUGAAAGUCCCACUUCCUGAAGCCAGAGAAAAUGUUUGAGUGAACUGGGAGAUGCAAAACCAGUCUUUUAAAUUCUGUAAGCAAUUUUAUAGUUCAUUUUCAGAGGAGAGAAGGGAGGGAGGAGAAUGAAGAAAAGAAUAUUUGAAAAAUGGGGGGGGGGUAUUAUAUUGCUGUACUUUAUUUAACUGAAGUAUAGACCAGAUAAGAAUGUGAACUCUUCAGCUCUCAUUUGCUCACCCAGAAUGUCCUAAGUCUGAUACUAUUGAAACCAAUUUAUUUUUCCAUAUUCAGCCAGUUUCUUUGUUAUUUUUAGCUUGAAACUUCUAUCUAGAACAUUCUAUGAAAAACUGGACCAAUUUCCUUUCCCUCCUUCCCUCUAUCCCUCCCCCUCUCUCUGUCCCACCCCACUUCCUCUGUCCCUUCCUUCUUCCCUUCCUUUUUUAUUUUUAUUUUCUUCUUCUUCUUCUUCUUCUUCUUCUUCUUCUUCUUCUUCUUCUUCUUCUUCUUCUUCUUCUUCUUCUUCUUCUUCUUCUUCUUCU
rnacentral:lncRNA from 1 species